UCGAGGCGAUGGAUUAGGUAAGGAUGGGUGAGGUUUGGCUGAGUUACAAGAGGUUACGCUAAUGACCUAAUGGGAAUGAAGGCGGCGAAUCCUUCUGUUAGAUUUGAGGAGGAAGCUCCCGCCACUCCCAGUAUUAGGACACCUCGCUUUAGAAACAAGAUGGUGGUCAACCAUUUUCUCACAAAAUGUCGGUCUCUAACUUCAUGUCUCACUGAAGUGCGUACUUUUUCCGGUUCAAUAUUAAGUGAAGUACGUACUUUUAUCCCUCAAUUUCCCUCAGUCUUCACAGUGCUGCCCACUGCCGCGCUGCUGAAGGUGUUGACGAAUACGUAACAGCUAAAUAUGUUAUGACCUUGUCGCCUGCAGCGUUGUUGACAGUGUGACGGCUCUGUAGAGCUACUGCGUGCAUAAUUAAUCUCUAAUCCACAAUUAACAUGUAGUAUUAUAGCAGUUAUAUUUUGUCCUUUUAAAAUUAUUAUUUGUGAUGAAAUUAAGUUCUUCUUUUAGAUUGUGGGCUGUAUUCGUUCCUUUAUAAAAGAAAAUGUAUUUUUAAGUAUACGUGACCAGCAGCCCCUGCUGGAGGGAAUACUGAGUUGGGGGAAUCUGUGGCUUUUACUGUUCUGCUUCAUUCAGUUUAGAUAAGACGGUGUUGUUUAUUAUCAAAAACGUCAUUGGGGCAACAGGUCCGUUGUUGUAUGUUCUUUCCUUUCUUCUUUCCUUUGUGUUCCUUUGUGUUUAUUUUCCACCUCCUCAUCCAUCUACUGCUACUUUUACUACUCCUCCUCCUCCUCCUGCUCCUGCUUCUCCUCCUCCUCCUCCUCCUCAUAAAUUAAAUUGUAAACUUAUCCACCUUCCUUAUUUCCUCCUGAUUGGUUUCGAACUGAGACGAACCACAUAAACUUGAUCGUAACUUGUCGGUAAAUAAAUCACUCUUUGCCUGCCUCGCCUUGGGGGACACUUGAAGUUUCCACCUCCGUCCUCAAGUUGCUGGGGGAAAGUUCGCGCAUCUUGCCUUCAGUGACGGGAGAAGGAAUGAAGGAAAGGAAGGGAAGGGGAUUCGAGCGAGGAGAAUAAAACAGUAUUAUAUUCUUUCCUUGUCAUUCAUAAUUUAUCACCGAGUAUGGAUCCCUGAAGGUUUGUAGAAAUAAAGCACGUGUUUUAUUUUUAUUUAUUUAUUUAUUUUUUUAUGACACUCACAUCCUCCUAAGUUCCACCUUAAUAUAAUUUCUCAACAAGAGUUCUUACACACAGACCUGUAGCUGUUCAUCAUGUGGCAUUCAAGUCAGUGUUUUUUUUUUUUUUUUUAAGCGUUAAGUUAGGAGUGAUGACGUAAGAGUCCACGUACUUACUAAGAGAACUUGCUAACUUAAAAAUAGGAAAACAACACACAGUAGUUUUAAAAUAGAUGAACAGAAAAUAACGCUGACAGUAUAAUGUAGCCUCCUCGUUGCAUUAUUUUUCUUUCAUACAGAUUCAUCAACGCCAAGCCAGAUAAACACCACACCAGCUUUGCAAACCCAUCUAUUUUACAUCCUGCCGCCAGCUCCCCUCCGUGUUGAAACAUUGGAUUCCAGUCGAGGGCCCCAUUUCUGUAUAUUUCUGGCAACGGGACGAACACUGACCAAGGGCAACAAAAAUUCAAUAAAUAAAAAAAGCCCACUGAGAUAUAUUCCAGUGCAGCGUCCGUCAAGGGUUUCAUACUGGCGAUCAGAAAGACAAAAAGCAUUCUGAGUGACUGAUUGAUUAAGAAGCUUGUUAACGAAGAUGGAUGCAGAAUAUAAGACAUCAUAGCUGCAGCUCGAUGGUCUGAGGGACUGGAUCGGCCAUCCUCUUGGGGAACGCAGGCAAAUUUCCAGCAGCAAGGAAAGGUGAACGUUGAUAGAAGAGUUGGAGAAGUUCAGUGAAGCGGAGUGAAAGCAUAGAAGAGGCAUGUAAUGGAAACGGUAGAAGGAAAUCAUCAGGACCAUAAGCCUUCCGGUGGGCAAGAUGUGAGACAGCACAGAAAACAUCAUUAUAAAGAAUUUCAGUAGCGGACAACAACAGCCAGAUAUUACAGAUGAAGAAAGAACAAAGAACUAUCCAGUGUUGAGUUCACACCAGUGAUCUGAGGGAAGAGUUCACACACACACACACACACACACACACACACGCACACACACACACGCACACACACACAUGGAGGGAUACAUGACGUGUCCAGAGUGUAUAAUUAUGUAAGGAUGCACAGUUGGAAAAGAUGUUCUAGGGAGGAAAUUGUGUGUUAGAUAAGAAAUAUUUUUAGACAGAUUAAAAUAUUAGAAAAUGG